rnacentral:rRNA from 1 species
AAGACUAACUACUGCGAAAGCAUUUGCCAAGGAUGUUUUCAUUAAUCAGUGAACGAAAGUUAGGGGAUCGAAGACGAUCAGAUACCGCCGUAGUCUUAACCAUAAACUAUGCCGACUAGGGAUCGGGCGAUGUUAUCUUUUUGACUCGCUCGGCACCUUACGAGAAAUCAAAGUUUUUGGGUUCUGGGGGGAGUAUGGUCGCAAGGCUGAAACUUAAAGAAAUUGACGGAAGGGCACCACCAGGAGUGGAGCCUGCGGCUUAAUUUGACUCAACACGGGGAAAC